rnacentral:rRNA from 1 species
UACGUAGGUGGCAAGCGUUGUCCGGAUUUACUGGGCGUAAAGAGCGCGCAGGCGGUCAAGUAAGUCGAAUGUGAAAGCCCCCGGCUCAACUGGGGAGGGUCAUUCGAUACUGCUCGACUUGAAGGCAGGAGAGGGCAGCAGAAUUCCCGGUGUAGUGGUGAAAUGCGUAGAUAUCGAGAGGAACACCAGUGGCGAAGGCGAGUCUCUGGACGACUCCUGACACUGAGGCACGAAAGCUAGGGGAGCAAACAGG